AUUACAGUAAGCACACGUCCAGAUAAAUCCCUCUCUCUUUCCUCUUUCCUCUUCCCUCUUUCCUCUUUCCUCUUCUCUCCCCGUAACCCUCUUCCUCUCCAAUUCGAACCCAUCUUCUUCCCCUUCAAGAAAUUUAUGGCCAUGCAUGCAUGCUUGUUUGCUUUCAAAUAAAAUAGAGCCUAGAUCGAAUGUGAAUCUAGGGCCAAUCCAAGGGUGGAGAAGCGCUUACUUCUGCAUUAUGUAUAACAAAUUAGCAAGUUGCUUGGAAAAGGACCAGCUUACAGACACCGGAGUGGUGAAUGUGAGCAAAGAAGAGAUAGAAGAAUACUGCAAGAAAGGAGGGUGCCGCGAGCACAUUGGGUAUGUGCUAAAGUGCAUCCAUGACGUGAAAAGAGACUUCUGGUUCGCCAACAACAUCACUGUCAGGCUCCUCAAUGAGAGCAUUUCUGAUGGAUGUGCCAAAAAUGAAGGUAGAAUUCCAUGAUGAUGUUCUUGACUUAAUUGGUUUCUGAUUUUUUUUUUUUUUUUUGGUGUUUUAAUUUCGUGUUUUUGCCAUAUGUUGUUCUUGGGGCACGAUGGCAAGAUCAACUUGGUUCUAUUUUCGUUUUAUUUUCUGGCCGAAUGGAACUUGAAGCGCUGCAACCAAACAACGAAAUGGAGAAGAAAAAAAAGAGUAACAUUAACAAAUCUGGGUCCUGAUGCAAACGAGUUGACAAAGAAAAAAAAUUACAUUAGGCGACGAUAGGCCUUACCGGAAGAUGUUAUUCGGCGUUUAAGAUAGCCAGAUGGCCACGACGUCGAAGACGGCAAAAGAAAGGACUCCGCUUGGGCAACGAUGGUUCUGCGUUCAAUCCGUGACCUUGGGCAACGAUGAUGUAGUGUUUUCACAGAGACCUUGGGCAAAAUCUGUAACAGUCCAACAUGUGAAAGGAGAUGUAACAGGGUCUUGGGCUCGUGGGCCUUAUUGUUGUUUUGUUAUGUUAUUUUCCUUAGCUUGCUUAUAGUUUGUGGACCUAAAUGUAGAACGGGCUGAGCCCAUAGAGUAUGUGUAGGUCCUUGGUCUAUCUUGUUUUGUUCUAGUUUGCUUGAUAGUCAGCCCAAGCCCAAGUUAGGGAUAAGCAAUCUUUCGUUUGGCUAUAUGUACGAGCCUUAGUGCUCCAGAGGAAUCAUCCAGAAAAUUAAUAGAAUUCUCAUUUUCAAGUUUAUCUUC